rnacentral:rRNA from 1 species
AGCAGCCGCGGUAAUUCCAGCUCCAAUAGCGUAUAUUAAAGUUGUUGCAGUUAAAAAGCUCGUAGUUGAAUUUCGGGAUCAAUACGUCGGUCGUGCUUCGGUACGUACCGGCGUCAUUGGUUUCUCCCUUCUGACGAACCAUGAUGUCAUUAACUUGGUGUCAUGGGAAAUCAGGACUGUUACUUUGAAAAAAUUAGAGUGUUUAAAGCAGGCUCACGCUUGAAUACAUUAGCAUGGAAUAAUGAAAUAGGACGUUCGAUCCUAUUUUGUUGGUUUCUAGGAUCAACGUAAUGAUUAAUAGGGAUAGUUGGGGGCAUUAGUAUUCAAUUGUCAGAGGUGAAAUUCUUGGAUUUAUUGAAGACUAACUACUGCGAAAGCAUUUGCCAAGAAUGUUUUCAUUAAUCAAGAACGAAAGUUAGGGGAUCGAAGACGAUCAGAUACCGUCGUAGU